GUGGGGAAUAUUGGGCAAUGGGGGAAACCCUGACCCAGCAACGCCGCGUGAAGGAAGACGGUUUUCGGAUUGUAAACUUCUUUUAUCGGGGACGAAAAAAAUGACGGUACCCGAAGAAAAAGCCACGGCUAACUACGUGCCAGCAGCCGCGGUAAUACGUAGGUGGCAAGCGUUGUCCGGAUUUACUGGGUGUAAAGGGCGUGUAGGCGGGACUGCAAGUCAGAUGUGAAAUACCAAGGCUUAACCUUGGGGCUGCAUUUGAAACUGUAGUUCUUGAGUGAUGGAGAGGCAGGCGGAAUUCCUAGUGUAGCGGUGAAAUGCGUAGAUAUUAGGAGGAACACCAGUGGCGAAGGCGGCCUGCUGGACAUUAACUGACGCUGAGGCGCGAAAGCGUGGGGAGCAAACAGGAUUAGAAACCCUGGAGUCC
rnacentral:rRNA from 1 species